GGGGAAUAUUGCACAAUGGGGGAAACCNUGAUGCAGCGACGCCGCGUGGAGGAAGAAGGUCUUCGGAUUGUAAACUCCUGUUGUUGAGGAAGAUAAUGACGGUACUCAACAAGGAAGUGACGGCUAACUACGUGCCAGCAGCCGCGGUAAAACGUAGGUCACAAGCGUUGUCCGGAAUUACUGGGUGUAAAGGGAGCGCAGGCGGGAGAACAAGUUGGAAGUGAAAUCCAUGGGCUCAACCCAUGAACUGCUUUCAAAACUGUUUUUCUUGAGUAGUGCAGAGGUAGGCGGAAUUCCCGGUGUAGCGGUGGAAUGCGUAGAUAUCGGGAGGAACACCAGUGGCGAAGGCGGCCUACUGGGCACCAACUGACGCUGAGGCUCGAAAGUGUGGGUAGCAAACAGGAUUAGAUACCCUGGUAGUCCACACCGUAAACGAUGAUUACUAGGUGUUGGAGGAU
rnacentral:rRNA from 1 species